GGAAGGGUGCGCCGAAUGGCUAAGGCACCGCUCUCGAAAAGCGGAACCCCGUAAGGGGUUUGUGGGUUCGAGUCCCACCCCUUCCG
rnacentral:tRNA from 1 species